rnacentral:rRNA from 1 species
CGCAUGGUGGGGGGAUUACCGGCUCUCACCACACACAAGGAUCUAUAUACUAUGGACGUGAGAGAUGUGUGCCCCAUGGAUCGACGGCUAAUUCUACGGAGCGAUCGUGUGUAUUCUCCGCCAUAGGACAGAAGUCGACACAACAACCGCGGGUGAGAGGAGAAGGUUCCGAUCGUAAGCUCUGUUGAAAGAGAAGACGAGUGUGAGGAGGGGAAAGUUCACACUUUGACGGUAUCUACAGAAAGGGACGCUACUACGUGCAGCAGCGCGUAUACGUAGUCCGAGCGUGUCGAUUAUGGCGUAAGCGAGCGCAGCGUAGAUAGUCUGAGUAAAGCUGUGCUACCAUAGUACGCUUUGAACUGUUUACUGAGUGCAGAGGGAGAGUGAAUCCAUGUGUAGCGGUGAAAUGCGUAGAUAUAUGGAGGAACACCGGUGGCGAAAGCGGCUCUCUGGCUUGUAACUGACGCUGAGGCUCGAAAGCGUGGGGAGCAAACAGGAUUAGAUACCUGGUAGUCCACGCGUAAACGAUGAGUGCUAGGUGUUAGACCCUUUCCGGGGUUUAGUGCCGCAGCUAACGCAUUAAGCACUCCGCGUGGGGAGUACGACCGCAAGGUUGAAACUCAAAGGAAUUGACGGGGGCCCGCACAAGCGGUGGAGCAUGUGGUUUAAUUCGAAGCAACGCGAAGAACCUUACCAGGUCUUGACAUCCCUCUGACCGCUCUAGAGAUAGAGUUUUCCUUCGGGACAGAGGUGACAGGUGGUGCAUGGUUGUCGUCAGCUCGUGUCGUGAGAUGUUGGGUUAAGUCCCGCAACGAGCGCAACCCCUAUUGUUAGUUGCCAUCAUUCAGUUGGACACUCUAGCGAGACUGCCGGUAAUAAACCGGAGGAAGGUGGGGAUGACGUCAAAUCAUCAUGCCCCUUAUGACCUGGGCUACACACGUGCUACAAUGGCUGGUACAACGAGUCGCAAGCCGGUGACGGCAAGCUAAUCUCUUAAAGCCAGUCUCAGUUCGGAUUGUAGGCUGCAACUCGCCUACAUGAAGUCGGAAUCGCUAGUAAUCGCGGAUCAGCACGCCGCGGUGAAUACGUUCCCGGGCCUUGUACACACCGCCCGUCACACCACGAGAGUUUGUAACACCCGAAGUCGGUGAGGUAACCGUAAGGAGCCAGCCGCCUAAGGUGGGAUAGAUGAUUGGGGUGAAGUCGUAACAAGGUAGCCGUAUCGGAAGGUGCGGCUGGAUCACCUCC